GAAAUGCGAUAAGUAGUGUGAAUUGCAGAAUUCAGUGAAUCAUCGAAUCUUUGAACGCACAUUGCGCCCUUUGGUAUUCCUUAGGGCAUGCCUGUUCGAGCGUCAUCUAAACCUUCAAGCCCUGCUUGGUGUUGGGUGCCUGUCCCGCCUCCGCGCGCGGACUCACCUCAAAUCCAUUGGCGGCCCCCGCGUCGGCCACGAGCGCAGCAGAAACGCGAACUCGUGAGCCCGUCCGGUCGGCUCCCAGAAGCUACACCCACCCAGUUUGACCUCGGAUCAGGUAGGGAUACCCGCUGAACUUAAGC
rnacentral:misc_RNA from 1 species